rnacentral:lncRNA from 1 species
ACCGUCAAUAGAAUAAGGGAAAUCAUCAGAAGACGGUUCUUCAGUAAAGGAGGGACCUAAAAUGAAUCUAGUAGGGUCCAAAAGAGAUAUGGUUUAAGCAAGGUAUAAUCCAGCGAUGGACGAUAAGGUAAAGGCGGAAGCGGCGCCAUUGCUAUGAAGUGAAAAAGAUGCUAAGGAUAGAAAAGAAUAAGAAAGUGAGCCUAAGCUGUGGACUAGAGAUGGAAAAGAGGUCAGAGAAAACGAGGAGAAGGAAAGAGAAGGCGAAGAAGACGAGGCCUGAGUUAAAAAAGGAACGAGGGAAGAAUAAGCUUGGCGAAGAAUAAAAGGAGCCGUCGCGUCGAAAUCGCUUCCCAAGAGCGGCUAGAAUGAUGAAAAAACGGCGGCAAUUAAGAUGACCUAAUUAAUGCCACAUAUAAGACAAAAGGAGAUGGCAGAAUCUAGCUGUGGAAACGAAAUGGACGGCUGAAGCGAAACCGUACAGAGAAUUCGAAAUUGAUUAUAUCGAGAGCCACGCCACGGAUCACGCUAGUUAUCGAAACGAUGGCGAGAUCGUGGCCGUAGAAAAGAAGUGGACGGCUGAGGCGAAACCGUACAAAGAAUUUGAAAUUAAUUGGACCGACAGUUGCGCCUCGGAUUACG